AUCCUUUUGUAGUUCAUGAGCAUGACCAUCGGGUGUUUACAUGCAUGUGUGAGAUAUGCCACCCUGUGAACCUUGUUACGACAUUGGCAUGUUACCCAUCUAACC
ensembl:snoRNA